rnacentral:rRNA from 1 species
UACGAAGGGGGCUAGCGUUGUUCGGAAUUACUGGGCGUAAAGCGCGCGUAGGCGGUCUUGUAAGACAGGUGUGAAAGCCCUGGGCUCAACCCGGGAAUAGCAUUCAAGACUGCGAGGCUCGAGUAUGUGAGAGGAUGGCGGAAUUCCCAGUGUAGAGGUGAAAUUCGUAGAUAUUCGGAAGAACACCGGUGGCGAAGGCGGCCAUCUGGACCAGUACUGACGCUGAGGCGCGAAAGCGUGGGGAGCAAACAGG